UCUUAUCAAGAGAGGCGGAGGGAACUGCCCUGUGAAGCCCGACAACCUGCCCUUACAGGGGGUAAGGUGUCAAUUCAGCGAAGCUCAGGCUUCGGCAGAUGAG
rnacentral:ncRNA from 1 species